rnacentral:piRNA from 1 species
UCCCUUGCUUUUGGUGUUCACUUACAU